rnacentral:rRNA from 1 species
GACGAACGCUGGCGGCGCGCCUAACACAUGCCAGUCGAACGGAGUCAAGAGGAGCUUGCUUUUCUUGACUUAGUGGCGAACGGGUGAGUAACGCGUGAGUAACCUGCCCUGGAGUGGGGGACAACAGUUGGAAACGACUGCUAAUACCGCAUAAGCCCACGGAUCUGCAUGGAUCUGCGGGAAAAGGAUUUAUUCGCUCUAGGAUGGACUCGCGUCCAAUUAGCUAGUUGGUGAGGUAACGGCCCACCAAGGCGACGAUUGGUAGCCGGACUGAGAGGUUGAACGGCCACAUUGGGACUGAGACACGGCCCAGACUCCUACGGGAGGCAGCAGUGGGGGAUAUUGCACAAUGGGGGAAACCCUGAUGCAGCGACGCCGCGUGGAGGAAGAAGGUUUUCGGAUUGUAAACUCCUGUCGUUAGGGACGAUAAUGACGGUACCUAACAAGAAAGCACCGGCUAACUACGUG